ACUCAAAUGAAUAGACGGGGACCCACACAAGCGGUGGAGCAUGGGGUUUAAUUCGAUGAUAAGCGAAGCACCUCACCCAGACUUGACAUGUAGAGAAUCCUGAAGAAAUUCGGGAGUGCCGCAAGGAACUCUAACACAGGCGCUGCACGGUCGUCGUCAGCUCGUGCCUUGAGGUGUACUGUUCAGUCAGCCAACGAGCGCAACCCUGAUCCUAUGUUGUUAUUUCAUAGGAGACUGCCGCCUCCAAGGCGGAGGAAGGUCAGGAUGACGUCAGAUCAGCGUGGCCCUUAUGUCUGGGGCAACACCCGUGCUACAAUGGUCGGUACAAACGGCAGCAAACCCGCGAGGGUAAGCAAAUCCGACAAAACCGAUCUCAGUCCGGAUUGAAGUCUGCAACUCGACUUCAUGAAGUUGGAAUCGCUAGUAACCGUGAAUCAGCUACGUCACGGUGAAUAUGUUCCUGGGUCUUGCACACACCGCCCGU
rnacentral:rRNA from 1 species